rnacentral:rRNA from 1 species
CAGGGAUUGCCCUAGUAACGGCGAGUGAAGCGGCAAUAGCUCAGAUUUGAAAUCUGGUCCUUUCAGGGCCCGAGUUGUAAUCUGUAGAGGAUGCUUCGGCGUCAGCCUCGGCYUAAGUUCCUUGGAACAGGACGUCACAGAGGGUGAGAAUCCCGUAUGUGGUCGGCUGCUUUCGCCAUGUGAAGCUCCUUCAACGAGUCGAGUUGUUUGGGAAUGCAGCUCUAAACGGGAGGUAAAUUUCUUCUAAAGCUAAAUAUUGGCCAGAGACCGAUAGCGCACAAGUAGAGUGAUCGAAAGAUGAAAAGCACUUUGGAAAGAGAGUUAAAAAGCACGUGAAAUUGUUGAAAGGGAAGCGCUUGCAAUCAGACUUGUUCGCGAUGGCUUAUCCAAGCUAUAACGGCUUGGUGCACUCCUUCGCGGUCAGGCCAGCAUCAGUUCGGGCGGCCGGAUAAAGGGUCUGGGAAUGUGGCUCCUCUCGGGGAGUGUUAUAGCCCAGAUUGUAAUGCGGUCAGCCUGGACUGAGGUCCGCGCUUCGGCUAGGAUGCUGGCGUAAUGGUUGUAAGCGGCCCGUCUUGAAACACGGACCAAGGAGUCUAACAUCUAUGCGAGUGUUUGGGUGUUAAACCCAUACGCGUAAUGAAAGUGAACGGAGGUGGGAACCCGCAAGGGCGCACCAUCGACCGAUCCUGAUGUCUUCGGAUGGAUUUGAGUAAGAGCAUAGCUGUUGGGACCCGAAAGAUGGUGAACUAUGCGUGGGUAGGUGAAGCCAGAGGAAACUCUGGUGAGGCUCGCAGCGUUCUGACGUGCA